rnacentral:rRNA from 1 species
AACGAACGCUGGCGGCAUGCCUAACACAUGCAAGUCGAACGAGACCUUCGGGUCUAGUGGCGCACGGGUGCGUAACGCGUGGGAAUCUGCCCUUGGGUUCGGAAUAACAGCGAGAAAUUGCUGCUAAUACCGGAUGAUGACGUAAGUCCAAAGAUUUAUCGCCCAAGGAUGAGCCCGCGUAGGAUUAGCUAGUUGGUGAGGUAAAGGCUCACCAAGGCGACGAUCCUUAGCUGGUCUGAGAGGAUGAUCAGUCACACUGGAACUGAGACACGGUCCAGACUCCUACGGGAGGCAGCAGUAGGGAAUAUUGCACAAUGGAGGAAACUCUGAUGCAGCGACGCCGCGUGAGUGAUGAAGGCCUUCGGGUCGUAAAGCUCUGUCGUAUGGGACUAACAAAAUAGAAGGUACCAUGCAAGAAAGGAAUCGGCUAACUUCGUGCCAGCAGCCGCGGUAAU